GUGCUCACUUCAGCAGAACAUAUACUAAAAUCAGAAUGAUACAGAGAAGAUUAGCAUGGCUGCUGCUCAAGGAUGACAUGCAAAUUCAUGAAGUGUUCCAUAAUUUU
ensembl:snRNA U6 U6 spliceosomal RNA